rnacentral:rRNA from 1 species
GAUGAACGCUGGCGGCGUGCUUAACACAUGCAAGUCGAACGGAAAGGCCCAAGCUUGCUUGGGUACUCGAGUGGCGAACGGGUGAGUAACACGUGGGUGAUCUGCCCUGCACUUCGGGAUAAGCCUGGGAAACUGGGUCUAAUACCGGAUAGGACCACUUCUUGGAGGUUGUGGUGGAAAGCUUUUGCGGUGUGGGAUGAGCUCGCGGCCUAUCAGCUUGUUGGUGGGGUAAUGGCCUACCAAGGCGUCGCCGGGUAGCCGGCCUGAGGGGGUGUACGGCCACAUUGGGACUGAGAUACGGCCCAGACUCCUACGGGGGGCAGCAGUGGGGAAUAUUGCACAAUGGGCGCAAGCCUGAUGCAGCGACGCCGCGUGGGGGAUGACGGCCUUCGGGUUGUAAACUCCUUUCGCUAGGGACGAAGCGUUUUGUGACGGUACCUGGAGAAGAAGCACCGGCUAACUACGUG